rnacentral:rRNA from 1 species
AAACCCGGUGAUCUAGCCAUGGGCAGGUUGAAGGUUGGGUAACACUAACUGGAGGACCGAACCGACUAAUGUUGAAAAAUUAGCGGAUGACUUGUGGCUGGGGGUGAAAGGCCAAUCAAACCGGGAGAUAGCUGGUUCUCCCCGAAAGCUAUUUAGGUAGCGCCUCGUGAACUCAUCUUCGGGGGUAGAGCACUGUUUCGGCUAGGGGGCCAUCCCGGCUUACCAAACCGAUGCAAACUCCGAAUACCGAAGAAUGUUAUCACGGGAGACACACGGCGGGUGCUAACGUCCGUCGUGAAGAGGGAAACAACCCAGACCGCCAGCUAAGGUCCCAAAGUCAUGGUUAAGUGGGAAACGAUGUGGGAAGGCACAGACAGCCAGGAUGUUGGCUUAGAAGCAGCCAUCAUUUAAAGAAAGCGUAAUAGCUCACUGGUCGAGUCGGCCUGCGCGGAAGAUGUAACGGGGCUAAACCAUGCACCGAAGCUGCGGCAGCGACGCUUAGGCGUUGUUGGGUAGGGGAGCGUUCUGUAAGCCGUUGAAGGUGGCCUGUGAGGGUUGCUGGAGGUAUCAGAAGUGCGAAUGCUGACAUAAGUAACGAUAAAGCGGGUGAAAAGCCCGCUCGCCGGAAGACCAAGGGUUCCUGUCCAACGUUAAUCGGGGCAGGGUGAGUCGACCCCUAAGGCGAGGCUGAAAAGCGUAGUCGAUGGGAAACAGGUUAAUAUUCCUGUACUUGGUGUUACUGCGAAGGGGGGACGGAGAAGGCUAGGCUAGCCGGGCGACGGUUGUCCCGGUUUAAGCGUGUAGGGGGUGUGACCUGGUAAAUCCGGUUGCAUAUUAACCCUGAGGCGUGAUGACGAUGCACUACGGUGCAGAAGUAGUUGAUGCCCUGCUUCCAGGAAAAUCCUCUAAGCUCCAGGUAACAUUAAAUCGUACCCCAAACCGACACAGGUGGUCAGGUAGAGAAUACCAAGGCGCUUGAGAGAACUCGGGUGAAGGAACUAGGCAAAAUGGUGCCGUAACUUCGGGAGAAGGCACGCUGGCAUGUAGGUGAAGUCCCUCGCGGAUGGAGC